rnacentral:rRNA from 1 species
AUUGAACGCUGGCGGCCUGCCUUACACAUGCAAGUCGAACGGCAGCACGGGAGCAAUCCUGGUGGCGAGUGGCGAACGGGUGAGUAAUAAAUCGGAACGUGCCCAGUGGUGGGGGAUAGCCCGGCGAAAGCCGGAUUAAUACAGCAUACGACCUGAGGGUGAAAGCGGGGGAUCGCAAGACCUCGCGCAAUUGGAGCGGCCGAUGUAAGAUUAGGCAGUUGGUGGAGUAAAGGCCAACCAAGGCAACGAUCUGUAGUUGGUCUGAGCGGACGACCAGCCACACUGGGACUGCGACACGGCCCAGACUACUACGGGAGGCAGCAGUGGGGAAUUUUGGACGAUGGGGGCAACCCUGAUCCAGCAAUGCCGCGUGCAUGAAGAAGGCCUUCGGGUUGUAAACUGCUUUUGUCAGGGAAGAAAUCCUCUGGGUUAAUACCUCGGGGGGAUGACGGUACCUGAAGAAUAAGCACCGGCUAACUACGUGCCAGCCGCCGCCGUAA